UACGUAGGGUGCGAGCGUUGUCCGGAAUUAUUGGGCGUAAAGAGCUCGUAGGCGGCUUGUCACGUCGGGUGUGAAAGCCCGGGGCUUAACCCCGGGUCUGCAUUCGAUACGGGCAGGCUAGAGUGUGGUAGGGGAGAUCGGAAUUCCUGGUGUAGCGGUGAAAUGCGCAGAUAUCAGGAGGAACACCGGUGGCGAAGGCGGAUCUCUGGGCCAUUACUGACGCUGAGGAGCGAAAGCGUGGGGAGCAAACAGG
rnacentral:rRNA from 1 species